rnacentral:lncRNA from 1 species
GCCACUGAGAUUUUCAGACACAAACCAAGAGGAUUGAAAAGAUCUCAUUUUAGGGGAAAAAAAAACUAAAGAGGGGAUUUCAAAGGCAUAUACCCUGUUCUUUAUUACAGUGGGAAGUCCCAUGGACCGAAUUCAAUUGUCCUAUGAAGCGGAACUUUCGUCCUAAAAAUCAGAAGUAGCUGGUGUUGGACUCAACAUGAUCCCAAACUCACCUAAUAGCUGCCUCUGAGAAUGCAAUUUUCAGUCAGGAGCACAAGAGAAGUGCUCAUUAAAAGUGCUCAUGGAACUUCAUUAAAAGUUCCAUGUUUGGCCAAAACCCCAGAAAAAAAAAA